AGAAUUUAAGGGUGUUUUCCUGACUUUCCUGAUGGAUGACCUUGCUAAAAAUUCCAGGCGACGCUGGUAUCCAGAGAGGGUUCUGUGUGAAAAGAGAUUCCAUGAGACAAAUGGAAGAACAAGGAGAGGCGAAAGGAACAAUAGAGGUCUUUCAGAAGCAGGUCAACAAACAUUGAUGCAGCAUUUUCUUUGUGCGUGUUGAAGUAACAAUGAGCCUCAGAACUUCUAAUAAGCAGCAUAAUUGCCAUGUGGAGAAGGCUACAUUAUACAACACCAAUUUCUCUCUGAAGAUCCACCACCUCCGGAUGAAUGUUACUGAUUCCUACUGUCUAUUUCAUAGAUCUUCAACUCUUGUUCUUUUGUUUAAAGAUAUGAGUCUAAGCUUAGACAUAUAUGAUGCUUUCAAUUCAAAAAUGUUGUUUAGAAAAGGCGCUCAUUUAAAGAAUUUGCUGAAAGCUAAAGGAUAACCAAAGCAAAAGGCACACACAGGGUAACAUAAAUCUAGAAUAUAUGUUUUGCCAUAUGUAUUUUUCUCAUUUCCAAUCUAUUGUUAAAUACAUGGCAUCCUCCUACCACACCCUUACUUCCACUAGGCAGAGCAUCCAUUUAUUCUCUACCAUGCACAAGUCUUUGGCUUCAAAGUCAUAGGUUUCCAUGGUUACAGUUCUUCAUUGGUGUUCUUAUUUUCCUCAGGUAACUGAUAUUAAACUGGACUUCCCUCUCUUGCUCAAACCUCUGAGGUCCUCAUAGGCUAGAUUAUCAUCAAUAUAAUAUGACAACCUUAAGAUUCAUAUUAAACACAAACACUCUUGGUAAUUGGAAGGGAGAAAGUGAGAGGGAGGAGUCUUGAAAGAGAAUAUUGUUUCAUUACCUUUUCUUUCAAUUUUUGGGUAGCUUUUAUGGUCGUAAAGUAGCCUUUGGGAAAAAAUAUUGGAGACACUUGCAGUUUUAAGGCUUUAUCAAUGUCUGGUAAUGUGAUGUGGAGAUGAUAGAGCUUAAAUGUGAUGUGUUAAGCCACUGUUUCAGCACAUUUAAGCCAUGACUAAAAAGAGAAUUAUGAAUAUACCUGUAAAAAAGGAUAGAUGAGAAAUAAAGAAGUGUUGAAGCAUUCGGAUGACUAGUGAAGGAAAUCUCUUAGUCUAAAUUGGUCUGAUAGUCUUAAAAUGUGGAAUAGAACGUGGAGAAGAGUCCAUAACUAUCGAGCCAUAAGAGUGUAAUACAUACUAGAAGGGUAUUUGGGGGCUCAGGAGGAGGUGGGGAUGGUUAGCAGGUACAAAAUAAAAUAGAGUGAAUGAAUAAGACCUA
rnacentral:lncRNA from 1 species